rnacentral:rRNA from 1 species
UACGGGGGGGGCAAGCGUUGUUCGGAAUUACUGGGCGUAAAGGGUUUGUAGGUGGCCCGCUAAGUCACACGUGAAAUCCCUCAGCUUAACUGGGGAACUGCGUGUGAGACUGGCAGGCUCGAGGGCAGGAGAGGAACGCGGAAUUCCUGGUGUAGCGGUGAAAUGCGCAGAUAUCAGGAGGAACACCGGUGGCGAAGGCGGUUCUCUGGGCAUUACCUGACGCUGAGGAGCGAAAGUGUGGGGAGCGAACAGG